GCCGCUAAAGGUCUUGGUCUUUAACGGCGUUUGUGGGAGAAGCGUCGCUAAAUGUCAUGGUCUUUAGCGGCGUUUGUUGGAAAAGUGCCACUAAAGGUCAUGGUCUUUAGUGACGUUUGUGGGAAAAGCGUCGUUAAAGGUCAUGGUCUUUAGCGGCGCUUGUGGUAAAAGCGCCGCUAAAGGUCAUGGCUAUUAGCGGCGUUUGUCAGAAUAGCGUCGCUAAAGGCCUUGUUCUUUAGCGGCGUUUAUUUCUAAAAACGCAGCUAAAGUUAGCGACGCUGUCAUUAGCAGCAUUUUUUGCGGCGCUUCUCAAAGCUCCGCUUAAAGCCUGUUUUGGUGUAAAAAUAUAUUAAUUAUUCAUAAUUUUUUUAUAUGAAAUAUAAAUGUAAUUACAUUACAAACACAUUAAAAAC
rnacentral:lncRNA from 1 species